GCAGGUAGCCCCAGUUUCGGCCCUGGCACCUGGGGGGAACUCAGGUGAGAGGUGUCCUGGGGUGGAGAUGGAGGCAGAUUGGGGCGUCUGCCUGUACAUUCACUCUCCAAUGUUCUCCAGGCAAUCCGAUUUACGACUUUUUUCUGGGACGAGAGCUCAACCCUCGUAUCUGUUUCUUCGACUUCAAAUAUUUCUGUGAACUGCGACCCGGCCUCAUCGGCUGGGUCCUCAUCAACCUGGCCCUGUUGAUGAAGGAGGCAGAGCUUCAGGGCAGUCCCUCACUGGCCAUGUGGCUGGUCAAUGGCUUCCAGUUGCUCUACGUGGGUGAUGCCCUCUGGCACGAGGUGAGGCUGGACUGGACGAGGGUGGGUGUCUGAGGGCUGCAUAGGGACUAAGCCAGUGUGUCUGGGUCUUGUCCCUGCAGGAGGCCAUCCUCACCACCAUGGAUAUCACACAUGACGGGUUUGGCUUCAUGCUGGCGUUUGGGGACAUAGCCUGGGUGCCCUUCACCUACAGUCUGCAGGCCCAGUUCCUGCUGCACCACCCGCAGCCCCUGGGGUUGCCCAUGGCCUCUGUCAUCUGCCUCAUCAAUGCUAUUGGUUACUACAUCUUCCGUGGGGCGAAUUCCCAGAAAAACACUUUCCGAAAGAAUCCUUCUGACCCCAGAGUGGCUGGUGAGCUGGGUCUCUAGGGCCAUGGGUGAGGUGGGGCAGCUG
rnacentral:sRNA from 1 species